UAAAAUAGUCUGUUGGACUACCAAUUAACUGUGGAAGAAUCCAAGAAAAUAAAUCCUAGCCGCCUGGCUGUUGGGUUUCCAAGGGAUUAUGGAUUGGGAAAACAAAAAGCAAUACACUAAUAUACACUAUUUAAUAAAAAAACAAAGGAAUACUAAACUUGUUAAUUUUUUUUAUGGUUUAAACGUUUGUUUUUUUUUUAAAUAAAUAAACAAGAAGAUGAGUGGAACAGUAACAGAACAAAAAAAAUCCUCAUCGUCCCCACUCUUCAAUCUUUCACGCCUCUCAACCGUUCUCUCAAUCACCCACGCUCAC
rnacentral:lncRNA from 1 species